rnacentral:rRNA from 1 species
AUUGAACGCUGGCGGCAGGCCUAACACAUGCAAGUCGAACGGUAGCACAGAGAGCUUGCUCUCGGGUGACGAGUGGCGGACGGGUGAGUAACGUCUGGGAAACUGCCCGAUGGAGGGGGAUAACUACUGGAAAAGGUAGCUAAUACCGCAUAACGUCGCAAGACCAAAGUGGGGGACCUUCGGGCCUUCCCCCAUCGGAUGUGCCCAGAUGGGAUUAGCUAGUAGGUGGGGUAAUGGCUCACCUAGGCGACGAUCCCUAGCUGGUCUGAGAGGAUGACCAGCCACACUGGAACUGAGACACGGUCCAGACUCCUACGGGAGGCAGCAGUGGGGAAUAUUGCACAAUGGGCGCAAGCCUGAUGCAGCCAUGCCGCGUGUAUGAAGAAGGCCUUCGGGUUGUAAAGUACUUUCAGCGGGGAGGAAGGCGGUGAAGUUAAUAACUUCACCGAUUGACGUUACCCGUAGAAGAAGCACCGGCUAACUCCGUGCCAGCAGCCGCAGUAAUAC